ACAUCCAGAGAAUUUAGCAGAGAUGCUUUAGUGCCUUCGGGAACUCUGAGACAGGUGCUGCAUGGCUGUCGUCAGCUCGUGUUGUGAAAUGUUGGGUUAAGUCCCGCGACGAGCGCAACCCUUAUCCUUUGUUGCCAGCACGUAAUGGUGGGAACUCAAAGGAGACUGCCGGUGAUAAACCGGAGGAAGGUGGGGAUGACGUCAAGUCAUCAUGGCCCUUACGAGUAGGGCUACACACGUGCUACAAUGGCGCAUACAAAGAGAAGCGACCUCGCGAGAGCAAGCGGACCUCAUAAAGUGCGUCGUAGUCCGGAUUGGAGUCUGCAACUCGACUCCAUGAAGUCGGAAUCGCUAGUAAUCGUAAAUCAGAAUGUUACGGUGAAUACGUUCCCGGGCCUUGUACACACCGCCCGUCACACCAUGGGAGUGGGUUGCAAAAGAAGUAGAUAGCUUAACCUUCGGGAGGGCGUUUACCACUUUGUGAUUCAUGACUGGGGUGAAGUCGUAACAAGGUAAGCGUAGUGCU
rnacentral:rRNA from 1 species